GGCCGCGGGAAUUCGAUUGGAUCGCCCUUAGAGUUUGAUCAUGGCUCAGGAUGAACGCUAGCGGCAGGCCUAAUACAUGCAAGUCGAACGGGAUUUGAGUAGCAAUACUUAAUGAGAGUGGCGCACGGGUGCGUAACGCGUAUGCAACCUACCUUUAACAGGGGGAUAGCUCCGAGAAAUCGGGAUUAAUACCCCAUAGUAUUAUUGAUUGGCAUCGAUUAAUAAUUAAAGCUCCGGCGGUUAAAGAUGGGCAUGCGUGCCAUUAGCUAGUUGGUGAGGUAAGGGCUCACCAAGGCGAUGAUGGCUAGGGGUUCUGAGAGGAUUAUCCCCCACACUGGUACUGAGACACGGACCAGACUCCUACGGGAGGCAGCAGUAAGGAAUAUUGGGCAAUGGACGCAAGUCUGACCCAGCCAUGCCGCGUGCAGGAAGACGGCCCUAUGGGUUGUAAACUGCUUUUAUCAGGGAAUAAACCCCCGGAUGUAUCCGGGGCUGAAUGUACCUGAAGAAUAAGCAUCGGCUAACUCCGUGCCAGCAGCCGCGGUAAUACGGAGGAUGCAAGCGUUAUCCGGAUUCAUUGGGUUUAAAGGGUGCGCAGGCGGAUUAUUAAGUCAGUGGUGAAAUCCUACAGCUCAACUGUAGAACUGCCAUUGAUACUGUUAAUCUUGAGUAUAUUUGAAGUGGGCGGAAUGUAGCAUGUAGCGGUGAAAUGCAUAGAUAUGCUACAGAACACCAAUUGCGAAGGCAGCUCACUAAACUAUAACUGACGCUCA
rnacentral:rRNA from 1 species